rnacentral:lncRNA from 1 species
UCUUAAACCCUGUUCCAAUGAUGUUACCCAGGCAUUUCUAGCAAAAAAUAUUUGCGGGUUUAAUUCUUUCUGUGUCUGAUUCUUGAAAAUCUUAAACUUAGAUGACUCUCAAGUUGACUCACUUGGAAAACUAAAAUGUUAUCCUUCAUUCUUCUCUCUGCCUUUUCUUCAGUGUCUAACUGAUCCCCUAACAAUGCCACCUUAGAAACGCUCACUCUCAUCCCUUUUCUCUACUGCCCAGCAGAAUCUCUGUUGGAUCCUCAUUACUUUUCUGAGUUACAGAUGGAAUUUCUUAAAUUGUGCCCCUGAUUCUAGUCUUGAUAUCUUCAACCUACAAAAGUAGGUUGAAUAUGCAGCCAGACUAAUA